rnacentral:lncRNA from 1 species
AUAUUUUAAAGAAUCAUAUUAAAAAAUAGACAAUAACUAGUAAAUGCAAUUGAAUGCACAAUUUCCUAAAUAAUUGUUUAGAAUAUGGUUGGCAGAUAAUGGAAAUAACGGGGCAGUUGAUGGAUUGACAAAAAGUUUGUGCUAUUUAUUUAAUAUACAUACAAUUGGGAAAGUUGAAAAUUAAAACUUCUAUUUACAACCAAAAAGAAACUAAUAAAUUAGGAAAAUUACAUGAAGUAGAUUUUUAGGAAUAUAAACUAGGAUAUUCAGAUGAAAAUAAAACAUUUUAUUAGUCAACAAAAAGCACAUUUAAACAAUGUAAUAUCAGGUUACAUCCAAAAUAAAAUAAACAUAGAAAAUGUACAUAUUAGCAAGAAAUGGUGAAGUGAAAAGUUUAGGUGUUAAUGCUAACAGCAUGAAAUGAUCCAGCCAUUUAGAGAGCAGUUUGUCACUAUUUGGUGAAACUUAACUCCACAAUUUCUUUCCUGGGAAUAUACUUCAUAAAACUCUAGCAUAAUCAUAGAAAUGGACAUGCGUGAGAAUAUUCAUUAGAGUAUUUUAUGUGAUAGCAAAGUCUUUCAAGAACGUAAAUGUUCAUCAGUUCUUAAAAGGAUAGAUAAAAUGUGGCAUACGUGCACCAUGUAACAGUGUAACUUUCAAAAUACAUUUAAAUUGAUUAGUUUUUCAUGGAGCAAUGUUGAUUUAUUUAUAUUUAUUUUUUGAAGACAUGGUCUUUUUUUUUUUUUUCUGAGACGGAGUCUCACUCUGUCGCCCAGGCUCAGUGGCACAAACUCCACACACUGCAAGCUCCGCCUCCCGGGUUCAUGCCAUUCUCUUGCCUCAGCCUCCCAAGUAGCUGGGACUGCAGGCGCCCACCACCAUGCCUGGCUAAUUUUUUGUAUUUUUAGUAGAGACGGGGUUUCACUGUGUUAGCCAGGAUGGUCUCAAUCUCCUGACCUCAUGAUCUGCCCACCUCGACCUCCCAAAGUGCUGGGAUUACAGGCGUGAGCCACCGGGCCCGGCCGAUAUGGUCUAUUUUUUUCAACCAGGCUUGAGUGCAGUGGCGAUCAUGACUUAUGGCUCACUGCAUCACUGUAGCUUUGACCUCCUAGGCUCAAGUGAUCCUCCCACCUCACCCUCCCAAGUAGCUGGGACCACAGGCAUGUACCAGGAUGCCUAGUUAAUUUUUUGGUAUUUUUUGUAGAGAUGGGGUUUUGCCUGUGUUGCCCAGCUGUUCUCAAACCCCUGAACUCAAGUAAUCCGCCCGCCCCGGCCUCCCGAAGGGCUGGGAUUACAGGAAUGUGCCACCGUGUUUGGCUAGAAAUGUUGACAGUUCUAAAGAAAUGUUGAAUAAAAUAAGUGACAAAGAGAACAAACUUUUUAGCACAAUUCAUAAAUGUAUAUUACAGCCAGUACACACACACAAAAUUAACAGUACAUAAUGUUUAUAGAUUUAUAAUUAUGUAAAUAGAUUUAUGAUUAUUGUCAAAGCACAAAAUAAUUACAUAUAGUUCAUUUCUGUUGGGAAAAGGCCAUGUAUAAGUCAUAAUAUGUGCAUAUUGGCAGCCAUUGAUUACAGUGGUAAGAAUUACUUUGAAUUUUGGGUAAUCAUUUUCUCUAAUGGCAUUAUAUUUUCCCCUCAUUGAAGAAUUUUGCUUCAUCCUGCUUAUUUGGGAAAAUAUAUUUUGGGGAGGGAGGGAAUUUUUAAGAGGCAAAGCAAAAAAAUUAUAAUGUCUGAUUAUAGCAUUAUAUUGCUGACACCUUGGGUGAAGUGAAAGUGGAUCUCAAAUCUUAAAGGAAUGUGAACGAAAUGAGUACUUGAACCCCUGUGGAUAGAUGUAGAAAAAUUAAAGGUAUUUGAAAAUUUUAGUAGCUAUGAAAAGUGAUUGCCAUUGUGAAGCCUGCUGUUUUCUUUUAAAACAUGGCAAUAAUGUAUAAAUUAAAUUGCAACAGGAAGUUCAUAUUCUAGAAUACUCAGUUGUUCUGCAUGCAGAGUUGGAUAAAUGGAAAAUAUAUGAUAAUUAUACAGCAUAAGGGGUAAAGAAUUUCUAAUCAGCUUAAAUGUUUUAAAAUUAGCCACUUACAGAAAAAAAGAGCAGUUAAUUUUAAAAAAUCAAGCUAAAAGGAGUUAAUUUCAAGAAAACAGGAUUCAGAUAAGAUAUAAUGGCCUAGAUUAUAAUUUAAUAAAAGUAAAGAGUAUGCUUUUUUAUUAAUAAAUAUGUUUUUAUAAGUUAAAAAGAAAAUGAUUACAGUAGCCACUUUGGUACUUUAAGCUGAAGGCAUUAUGUGACCAUAUAGUGAAGUAGUUUUAAAACCAACCCAAUUUUCCCAUAGAACUGAACGGUUUCUUUUGAAUACACCUAGAAAUGGACUCUGUCAGUCUUGAAAUAUGAGAAAGUUACAUUUGUCUUAUCUGAGUUUCUUUCUCAGGAGACCAACUAGCAGGCCUCCCAAAUAGUAUCAAGGAACUGAAACUUAUCAUUGCAUCUGGACAAUGAGAUGUCAGACUUCUCCCCUAGCAUGAUUGCCUAACCGACCACCUGUUUCCUGUUGACCAACUCUUCCUCAUUACCCCUCCCUAAUUCCUGUUCCUUCAGGUAGUUACAUUUCCGCUAUAUAAAUUCCUAAUUUUAGUUGGUUAGGUAAAUGGAUUUGAGACUGAUCGCCCAUCUCCUCAGCUGCAACUCCUAAUUAAAGCCUCUUCCCUGGCAAUACUCAUUGUCUUAGUGAUUGGCUUUCUGUGCAUGAGUAGCAGCAUUUAAACAGAACCCCUGGAUUUUUGGUUAGUUUCUCCUUACAAAGUGAACAUUACAGAUAUGUAUUAUUAGUGUGGAAUAUGUUAAGAUGAAGAUCACUUCCUCUCUAAAAUAUAUUAACAUUUGAUAACAGUUAUAAAUAUUUCCAAAAUGUUGCUCCUUGAUGUGAAACUUCGAUUACGUAAAUUAAUAGCCUUUAAUACUGACACUCGUCUAGAGUAACAGUUUGACAGUGAUAUUGUCCUAAAUUUUAGGUAGCAGGUUGAAGAUUAAAAUGAUUAAGCAAGUCGUUCAAUAUCCUUGAAAAAGUCUAAAGAACGGAUAAAAGAUUGCAUCAGAGAUUAAAAUAUAAUGAUAAAGGCAAAUUGCCCAGGAAAAAUGUAGGAUGCCCCAGAUGUUUAUUGUCAGAAAUGAAAAAUACAUCAUCUUUGAUUAACACGUACUUAAAGCACUUGUGAACUAACUCACAGCAGCUGAUCCCUAGAAUACUUUGUUACCUGUUACUAUAGGUGCUUACUCAGCUUUUCCUUUUAUUGUAUUCGAGGAUGUUUUUGAACACAGUCCCCAGAGAAUAAAGCGACAGAACCCUUCUCUCUGCUUCAUGGUUAGGACUCUCCUGUUAACUUUACCUAAAGAACUUCAGCUUAGCUGGGCAGGUUCCCUUUGUCCCAGUUAAGUUGGGAACCAGAUUGAGCAUUUAAUAACUGCUUUGGGAUAUUUUUUAUAAGGGAAGGUCUUUCAAAUAAACAUCAAGAUUUGAUGAAGUACAGGUUGUGUGACUACAGCCAAGCAGAUCAUAGGGAUUGAAGAAGGAAAAAAAAUCAGUUACUAUUAUCCUUAGAUAUCAGCAGAAGUCUGUUAAGUCAAAACUAUUUCAUAUUAAGAUUAACAUGGUAUUUUUAUUAUUUGUCUUUAUGUUGACAUUUAGUUUGAUGAUGCAAACCAGAUGUGAGACAAAACUGCUGGUGCCUUAGCCCAAAUUAAGGUAAUGACAAUUGACCUAGUAGCCAUGUUUUUCAAUGUUACAUACUCAGAUAAAAAAAAAAAAAGAAAAUUAUAAGGUCAGUUUCAGUAAGAAAUACCCAUUAUAAAAUAGGGAAUAUAUAUGAAUAUAUGUAUACAUAUAUAUAAUAUAUAUCCAUACAUAUGUAUGCAUAUAUAUAAUCUCAAUACAUUUUAAUAUGCCAUGUGAUGAAAUGAGAUAUACAUAUAAAGAACUUAUGCUUCACACCAAUAGAUGUUUUGAGAAAAAGCACUUUGGAAAGUAUCAAAACAGACAAACUGAUUAUUCAGAAGUGGACAUUUGACAGAUAUUCUCUUGAAAAUGAAUGAAGUGAGCCUAUCACUUUAAAAAAUAAACAGAAUUUUUGCCAAUGAUAAAAUUAGAGCUUUCAAGUACAAAACCUAGUAUUGCAGAAAACUUGUAUCUGCCUUCUUAAAAUUGACAUGUUCUCGAUGCUUAAGGAAUUUUCUGAUGACAUUGGCCAUGAUAUUAACAAUGAACAUGAUCUUGAUGUUGUUUAACCGAAGAUGUCAACAUUUGGAAGACCUCCAACUUUUUUAUUUGGACAUUUUCAUUUGAAUACAUUCAUUCCUGUUGAGCCAAAAACAAUUUGAAAUUUUGUUAAUUAUUUUUAUU